rnacentral:lncRNA from 1 species
GCGCUUAUGAUAUUGCUGGUGGUUGUUUUGAAGAAAAAAGAUGGUUGUUGUGUGUUUGUUGUUGUUGGUGUCCGUUCUUAAUGGAGGAGGGAGUAUAGUAUAUGGUUCUUGUUAUUUUUAGUGGUCUGGUCGUCUUCUUCCCCUAAAUGGCGUGUGUGCGUGCUGUUGGUUCUAAUGGGUGAGGUGUUUUUUUGUAUAUUGUGUGCUGUGUGUUG